CCCGCGAGCUCGUGAACAGGUCCCGGUGUCCGAGGGGUGAAACAGGGAAGUCGGUGCGUUGUGCGUGUUCACGCCAACAAUUCCGACGCUGCCCCCGCAACG
rfam:Pseudomonadales bacterium RIFCSPLOWO2_02_FTLL_63_210 rifcsplowo2_02_scaffold_169844, whole genome shotgun sequence.